UGAAGUAACCCUAAUUUUAUCACCACCCAUUCACACUCCAUUCACACUCCAUUCGAACGUUUCCAGCAGCCUCAUCCCUCGAAUUCUUCUCCUCAGGUAGAAGGUGGUGUCGCCGCCGGCGGGGAUAGACCGUGGGUGCCCUCGUCAUCUGGGGAAGCUCUACUCGGCCCUCUUCGCAUCGUUCCUCCUCUUUUCGCCGUCGCACGAAGUUCUGAGUUGAGCUCGUGGCGUCACCGUCACGAAGGGUUCCUCCCCUCCUCGCCGUCCAUUGUUUCUGAUUCUCUGCCCCUCGCCGUUUUGUGAUUUUGUGAUUUAAUCUCUGCUCCUCGCCCUCGUUGUUUCUGAUUUUGUGAUUUCAUUUCUGAUUUUGUGAUUUAAUCUCUGCUUCCUUUAAUUCUCAAAGGUAGUAAUUGCUGCGUGUAUUGGCUUUGAUGUUUGUGCAAAGGAGUUGAAGAUUGACCAGCCUUAAAGUUUGGUAAAUGUGGUGAUUCAUAUCUUCAAAAUUUGCUUCAGCCAUAUCCAGUGAGGGAAAGAUUUUGAUGUUGUCAUGAUAGGUUGCCACAAUUGCUUGGUUGGAAGCUGCUUCUGUGUGUGGCAGUCACUCUGUUGCAAUUCCUUUAGUGCUUGUCUUGCUUUAUCUUUUCCGUCUAAACCAAUAUCUCCGUCAGUACAAAGAUACCGGGGAGAAAACUUGUCUUUUGAAUGGUGGCACAAAACUUGCAUAAUUUAACACUUUUAUUUGCCUUGAUGUGUCUUGUCCGGAGCAUUCUACAAAAUCCUCACAUACAUAUAAAGCUUUAUUUUCAAGAAAAACCACUCCGAUCUACUUUAACUCGAAGAUCGUCUCAAGAGCAGCUAUGGCUACGUUCCAGCUUCAGAUUUUGAGGAUGAAGAGGAUGGGGAAGAAGAAGAAGAAGAAGGAGAGAUUUUAGUUCCUGUGCCGGAUUCUAGUGAAAUAGUGAAAUUAUGUUGAUCUACCACCCUGAAUGAUACCAAAAUCAAUUCACAUAUGAUUGUGUUUUACAUUUUUUAUCCAUUUGAUUUAUUUCUGUACUUUGUUUUCAGAAAUUCUAUAUUGAAGCUAUGAAAACUGAAAAGAUUAGAUGACGAUAUGAUAUUUUCAUCCCGUUUGAUUUUAUUGGUGUCUGUCCCUUAAUCUAGUUCUCUUCAUAUUUGAUGAAUCUAUGAGUUUGAAAUAACUUGGACUCUUAGAUGCUUGUCUGGCUACGUUAGCAUCUGGAGGUUAGUGAUACUGAUAUGCCACUUGCCUCCAUUGGCAUUCUUGUUGGUUGUAAGAAUUUCAUGCAUAUAUUUUUAAUCCAAUAUUCUUCAUUUUCUAGUUAAAAGGGAUGUCACUUGAUCUGGUCUUGUGGUCAUGUUGAUGUUGAUUUCAUGAGAACAAAAUGUUUCCUUUGAUUAUUUGUUUGUUACUAACUCUAUUUGUACCACUAUCUUAUUUUCUUGCACCGGUGUUGCUGAUUUAUUUCCACAAGAACUUGAGAUGUAAGUUAAAAGUUGUGAAUAUUAUUUCCACAUUUCUGUAGAUGAUUGCUGCAAGUUUCUCAUUUCCUAAGCAGUGGUUGAACAGGCAACAAGAGUUUAAGCAGCAGCAGCAACUUGUGGUAGACAAAAUAGUGGCAUUUGAGGGGAGGAAUUUAUUAUCUGAUGGAAGAGAUAAAAGAGAUGGAAAGGGAGCAAAUCCGAGAAGGAAUUGAUGAGUUUGGAAUAUUGUAUUCUGAAUUAAGUGAUUCUAACCGAUCUGAAGGCAGCAAUGGUUCUUUUGCAUUCCUUGUAUCUCAUGGAGGCAACUAUCUUUGCUGAUAAUUCAGAAUGGAGAUUGUUACUAGUAGCCAAGGAUACACAGUUGAUAGAUUCCAUUGCUGAAAAACAAUCCCAGAUAUUUUCAGAAAAAUGUAAAUUGUUAAGGAUGAUGUUGAAUUGAAGAAUUAGAAUAUGUAAAUUUCGGUCUAGAUUCAGCAAACUUGACUCUUACAUGUCUCUUUUUAUAUUUCUUGAUUUGAUUACAGAAUUACAAUGCAAACAUUAAUAUUUUAAUUUGUUUA